UACGUAGGGUGCAAGCGUUGUCCGGAAUUAUUGGGCGUAAAGAGCUCGUAGGCGGUUUGUCGCGUCUGCUGUGAAAACCCGAGGCUCAACCUCGGGCCUGCGGUCGAUACGGGCAAACUAGAGUACUGCAGGGGAGACUGGAAUUCCUGGUGUAGCGGUGAAAUGCGCAGAUAUCAGGAGGAACACCGGUGGCGAAGGCGGGUCUCUGGGCAGUAACUGACGCUGAGGAGCGAAAGCGUGGGGAGCGAACAGG
rnacentral:rRNA from 1 species